UACGAAGGGGGCUAGCGUUGCUCGGAAUUACUGGGCGUAAAGGGCGCGUAGGCGGAUAGUUUAGUCAGAGGUGAAAGCCCAGGGCUCAACCCUGGAAUUGCCUUUGAUACUGGCUAUCUUGAGUUCGGGAGAGGUGAGUGGAACUCCGAGUGUAGAGGUGAAAUUCGUAGAUAUUCGGAAGAACCCCAGUGGCGAAGGCGACUCACUGGCCCGAUACUGACGCUGAGGCGCGAAAGCGUGGGGAGCAAACAGG
rnacentral:rRNA from 1 species